rnacentral:lncRNA from 1 species
AUUUGACACCAACCCCCUGGUGACUGUUCUUUGAUAUUUACCUUUUCCAGAUUAAUGGAGCUGGAGCCCUUACCCUUGAAUGGAAGUCCCUUCUGAAAGCAGCCCAAAUGACCCUCCAUCAGGAGAGCCAGAGGAGCACAUCGUUUCAGCAGAGUCCACUUUGGCAGUGUGGAGAGUGAGAGACAUGAAACGGAAGAUCUGGAGGAAAGAGUACAGACACUGGUGGAAAAUCCGGCGAGAUAAACUUCAUAUUCCAAGCUGGUUUUAUUUCUGCAGUCUUUUUUCAAGGGCCAGGAAAGAACCCAAUUUCACAGCUGAGCUAGAGCAAACCGAGGAAUCUGGCAAAGAUGAGGAAACUGAGGCAUUAUGGUACAGGAGAAACUGCACUAGAAAAUCUAAGAAUGUAGAGAAUGAGAGAAGAAUAAUCUAACUCUUAUUUAACUAAAAACAAGAAAGAGAACCAGAUGGAAUGAAGAUGAAGAAAUUCAAAGAGGAGUAAAGUGAUUUUUUUCCAG